CCUCGAGAAGUGGCGCGGACUCCGGCGCCAUCACGGCUCCAUUUUAUGUGUCGGCUUUAAACAGUCGAGUGGUCACACUGCGUGCCUCUCUCUGUGAGAUGGGUUGGUCUAGUGCUUUUCCUAAGGCCUGUUUCCCUGGAAUUUAGGCAUGAUGGGCCGCAUCGCCGUCUAGAGGGUAUGGUGGCGAGAAGCCCCAGUUCGGGGGGGCCCCCCACACCUGGCCCUCGCAGCCACAGACAAUUCGAAUUCAAAAGCGAGGCGCUGUGGUUCGCUGUGUAGCCGAUUCCACUUCCGUCUCCUUUGUGGGGCUUUACUGUAAGGUGGCGACAGGGCAUGGCUAGCGGGGAAGCCCUGAAAUCUGAUGGCUGGGCCCAAAUGCAACUCGCUUACGGUGUGUUUGACCAAGGGCUCGGCCACCCUCCUUGAGAUCCCCAACCCAAAGAAGGGACCUCCUUCACCGUAUACACCUGUCAGGACCUGGAAUGGGCUGAGGUUGGAGUAAAAGACUGGAAACUCCGGAAGAACCUUCUGAAUAAAGCAAGUCAAAGAAGAGCAAAUAAUUUAUGGCAAAUUAAGCUAUUAUAAGCCAAGAAAUUUUGUUUCUGUGAUCAGUUAAGUUCAAUACAGACCACUGGAUGACUACAAGCCAGUCUUUCUGUUCCUAUUUGCCUAUAGUGAAUUGACUGGGGUGGGGUGGGAGAGAGGAGAUAAUCCCUAUUUCUUAUCUGCUUUGGAUACAAGGUAAAAAUAAAAUAUAAAAUUUUCAGUGA